rnacentral:rRNA from 1 species
ACUCCUACGGGAGGCAGCAGUGGGGAAUAUUGCACAAUGGGCGCAAGCCUGAUGCAGCCAUGCCGCGUGUAUGAAGAAGGCCUUCGGGUUGUAAAGUACUUUCAGCAGUGAGGAAGGUGGGUAUGUUAAUAGCAUAUUCAUUUGACGUUAGCUGCAGAAGAAGCACCGGCUAACUCCGUGCCAGCAGCCGCGGUAAUACGGAGGGUGCGAGCGUUAAUCGGAAUUACUGGGCGUAAAGCGCAUGCAGGUGGUUUGUUAAGUCAGAUGUGAAAGCCCGGGGCUCAACCUCGGAAUUGCAUUUGAAACUGGCAAACUAGAGUACUGUAGAGGGGGGUAGAAUUUCAGGUGUAGCGGUGAAAUGCGUAGAGAUCUGAAGGAAUACCGGUGGCGAAGGCGGCCCCCUGGACAGAUACUGACACUCAGAUGCGAAAGCGUGGGGAGCAAACAGGAUUAGAUACCCUGGUAGGCUACUG